rnacentral:rRNA from 1 species
UACGUAGGGGGCAAGCGUUGUCCGGAUUUAUUGGGCGUAAAGAGCGUGUAGGCGGCCUUACAGGUCAGCUGUGAAAACUCGAGGCUCAACCUCGAGACGUCGGUUGAAACCGUAAGGCUAGAGUCCGGAAGAGGAGAGUGGAAUUCCCGGUGUAGCGGUGAAAUGCGCAGAUAUCGGGAAGAACACCCGCGGCGAAGGCGGCUCUCUGGGACGGUACUGACGCUGAGACGCGAAAGCGUGGGGAGCGAACAGG